rnacentral:rRNA from 1 species
AUUGAUGGAGCUUGCUCCAAAGAUUAGUGGCGGACGGGUGAGUAACGCGUGAGCAACCUGCCUUUCAGAGAGGAAUAGCGUUUGGAAACGAACGGUAAUACCUCAUGAAGUAGAGAGAUGGCAUCGUCUUUCUACCAAAGAUUUAUCGCUGAAAGAUGGGCUCGCGUUGGAUUAGAUAGUUGGUGAGGUAAUGGCUCACCAAGUCGACGAUCCAUAGCCGGACUGAGAGGUUGAACGGCCACAUUGGGACUGAGACACGGCCCAGACUCCUACGGGAGGCAGCAGUGGGGGAUAUUGCACAAUGGGGGAAACCCUGAUGCAGCAACGCCGCGUGAAGGAAGACGGUUUUCGGAUUGUAAACUUCUGUUCUUAGUGAAGAAAGAAAUGACGGUAGCUAAGGAGCAAGCCACGGCUAACUACGUGCCAGCAGCCGCGGUAAUACGUAGGUGGCGAGCGUUGUCCGGAAUUACUGGGUGUAAAGGGAGCGCAGGCGGGAAAUUAAGUCAGCUGUGAAAACUAUGGGCUCAACCCAUAGACUGCAGUUGAAACUGAUUUUCUUGAGUGGAGUAGAGGUAGGCGGAAUUCCGAGUGUAGCGGUGAAAUGCGUAGAUAUUCGGAGGAACACCAGUGGCGAAG